CUGGGCAAGUGCUUCGCUGUGAUGCCAUAGUUGAUCUAAUUCAUGGCAUCCAAAUUGUGUCCACAACGAGAGAGCUCUACCUUGAGGAUUCCCCCCUGCAGCUCAAAAUUCUGGCUUUGGAUUCGGAAGUGCCAGAUUAACCCAAAUUGGAAGCCAACUUCCCAGAAUCUGAUCUGAUCACUCUCAGUAUGCUUCAUUUGUUUAAACUGCCAGGACAGCCAAACCUUUGGGGAGGCACCUUCUUCACAGCUUCAAAUGUGUUUCACUGAAGGCCAGAGGCACAUCAUCAGUCAUCACAGAUUGCUUUUACCCCACUGGAAAUGCUCCUCUCAUUUGGUGUGAUGCCAGUUCCUACUGAGAGCUCCUCAAAGCCUCCCAGCAUGUUUAGGACUCGGGCAACCGAGUGCCAGUGGAAAGGAAUGAGGAGUCUAGAGCAGGACUCAGGACAGUAUUUCCAAAAUGCCAGCAAUUUACUGCUCCAAGAUGCAAGCUGUUGUGAACUGCAGGCCAUCAUCCUCUUCAUGGACACUCAACUCACAAACCUGCAUCAAUUCACAGCAAAAGGUGCAAUUUAACUCUGCCCAUUUGGAGGGUGUUCAAGGAUAAGGACAUGCAGAAAUGUGCUGAGGGGCAGAGCAGCUGGAGUCACAAAGAUGCACUUUUAAGAGAAUUUGGAAAGUUAAUAAAAUAUUUAGAUCCUUACAGAUAGCUUUUUGCACUGAAGGAGUACCUUAUGCCUUACUGAAUUGUUUUUAAUUAAAUUAUGUCCUCUAGGAUUAAGAAAAGAGUGUAGUUAAGUGAACGAGAUAUUGCUUAACAUUUGAAUUCUGAAGCAAAUGUUGUUUCUUGCAAAUAUAGUUCUUGCACACACACAUGGUCCUGCAAUAUAAUUCCUCUGUUUUGUUCAUUGUACAAGGAAAAUGGGGCAUAAGAUGGAAGAAAAAGACCUUUAUGGAGCUUUCAGCAUCAUUUUUUCAGUGGGAUAGAAUUACAGUCUCUAAAGCUAAGCAGGUGCAAGGUUAGACCCGAAAGAAAACUCCAGGAAGGUCAAACAGAAUGUGUUCUGAACUCACAAAAACAUCUUAUUGCAAGGCUAUAGAACAGAUAGUGUAGAGUGGGCUUGGGUUUAUUUUUUAAUUUGGGGGUUAAAUUUAAAAAAUAGAGCUGUUCAUUAUUUAUACUGAAACAUCUCAUUUGUCUUCUGCUUUUCACCAAGUGCUUUCCAAUUCAGAAAGGGUCAUUUGAUUGUAAUUAAGCCAAAUGUUAGUGAAUAAUUCACUACCUUUUUCCUUCAUCCCAUCCUAUUCAUUAGUUGGAGCCAAAAGGCUCCAACUUUCAAAUAUAACAAAUCUUUAGUCAAUAAUUAGUAAUAAUUAAAGACUCAAAGCUGUUACAGCAGCCAGUUAUGAACAAAGAGGAGUCUGUUUGUGAAAUGAGAACUAAUAAGGGAAAAAUUAAUUUCUCGUCAACUUAAAUAUUUCCAAAAACCUAGGCCUUCAUACAAUGUCCUCCUGGGAAUCCCUGUAAUUGCAUUUGAUCAACACAGAGC